GAUGAACGCUAGCUACAGGCUUAACACAUGCAAGUCGAGGGGAAACGACAUCGAAAGCUUGCUUUUGAUGGGCGUCGACCGGCGCACGGGUGAGUAACGCGUAUCCAACCUGCCCACCACUUGGGGAUAACCUUGCGAAAGUAAGACUAAUACCCAAUGACGUCUCUAGAAGACAUCUGAAAGAGAUUAAAGAUUUAUCGGUGAUGGAUGGGGAUGCGUCUGAUUAGCUUGUUGGCGGGGUAACGGCCCACCAAGGCGACGAUCAGUAGGGGUUCUGAGAGGAAGGUCCCCCACAUUGGAACUGAGACACGGUCCAAACUCCUACGGGAGGCAACAGUGAGGAAUAUUGGUCAAUGGACGAGAGUCUGAACCAGCCAAGUAGCGUGCAGGAUGACGGCCCUAUGGGUUGUAAACUGCUUUUAUAAGGGAAUAAAGUGAGUCUCGUGAGACUUUUUGCAUGUACCUUAUGAAUAAGGACCGGCUAAUUCCGUG
rnacentral:rRNA from 1 species